GCACAGCUGUCAAGUCCGAAACAGGACGAAACAGCUGUCCCGUAC
rnacentral:hammerhead_ribozyme from 1 species